CUAAUUUAAAUCUUUUAAUUGAUACUAUUGACAAUGCCUUUAAUAGCACAGGACUUGCUAUCAGUUUGCUUAAUUAUGAGCAAGAACAGAUUAGACAGGUAGCUUUGCAAAACAGAAUAGCCUUAGAUUACUUGCUUGCAGCAGAAGGAGGAGUAUGCAAAAGAAUAGGAGGCAAGGCAUGUUGUGUGUGGAUAGAAGAUAAAUCAGGGAAAGUUAAGCAUGAGCUUCAGCAUUUAGAAGAGAUACAAAAACGCUUUAGAAAACC